rnacentral:rRNA from 1 species
GAUGAACGCUGGCGGCGUGCCUAAUACAUGCAAGUCGAGCGAACAGACGAGGAGCUUUCUCCUCUGACGUUAGCGGCGGACGUGUGAGUAACACGUGUAUAACCUACCUAUAAGACUGGGAUAACUUCGGGAAACCGGAGCUAAUACCGGAUAAUAUAUUGAACCGCAUGGUUCAAUAGUGAAAUACGGUUUUGCUGUCACUUAUAGAUGGAUCCGCGCCGGAUUAGCUAGUUGGUAAGGUAACGGCUUACCAAGGCAACGAUGCGUAGCCGACCUGAGAGGGUGAUCGGCCACACUGGAACUGAGACACGGUCCAGACUCCUACGGGAGGCAGCAGUAGGGAAUCUUCCGCAAUGGGCGAAAGCCUGACGGAGCAACGCCGCGUGAGUGAUGAAGGUCUUCGGAUCGUAAAACUCUGUUAUUAGGGAAGAACAAAUGUGUAAGUAAAUAUGCACGUAUUGACGGUACCUAAUCAGAAAGCCACGGCUAACUACGUG